ACGAACGCUGGCGGCGUGCUUAACACAUGCAAGUCGAACGAGGAGCGAUGGAAGCUUGCUUCUAUCAAUCUUCGUGGCGAACGGGUGAGUAACGCGUAAUCAACCUGCCCUUCAGAGGGGGACAACAGUUGGAAACGACUGCUAAUACCGCAUACGAUCUGACCUCGGCAUCGAGGAUAGAUGAAAGGUGGCCUCUACAUGUAAGCUAUCACUGAAGGAGGGGAUUGCGUCUGAUUAGCUAGUUGGAGGGGUAACGGCCCACCAAGGGGAUGAUCAGUAGCCGGUCUGAGAGGAUGAACGGCCACAUUGGGACUGAGACACGGCCCAGACUCCUACGGGAGGCAGCAGUGGGGAAUCUUCCGCAAUAGACGAAAGUCUGACGGAGCAACGCCGCGUGAGUGAUGACGGCCUUCGGGUUGUAAAGCUCGGUUAAUCGGGACGAAAGGCCUUUUUGCGAAUAGGGAGAAGGAUUGACGGUACCGGAAUAGAAAGCCACGGCUAACUACGUG
rnacentral:rRNA from 1 species